rnacentral:sRNA from 1 species
AGCAGCCGCGGUAAUUCCAGCUCCAAUAGCGUAUAUUAAAGUUGUUGCAGUUAAAAAGCUCGUAGUUGAAUUUCGGGAUCAGUAUGUUGGUCGUGCUUCGGUGCGUACUGUCAUUACUGGUUUCUACCUUCUGAAGAACCAUGAUGUCAUUAAUUCGGUGUCAUGGGGAAUCAGGACUGUUACUUUGAAAAAUUAGAGUGUUUAAAGCAGGCUACGCGCUUGAAUACAUUAGCAUGGAAUAAUGAAAUAGGACGUUUGAUUCUAUUUUGUUGGUUUCUAGGAUUCGACGUAAUGAUUAAUAGGGAUAGUUGGGGGCAUUAGGUAUUCAAUUGUCAGAGGUGAAAUUCUUGGAUCUAUUGAAGACUAACUACUGCGAAAGCAUUUGCCAAGGAUGUUUUCAUUAAUCAAGA